UCGAGCGAACGGACGAGAAGCUUGCUUCUCUGAUGUUAGCGGCGGACGGGUGAGUAACACGUGGAUAACCUACCUAUAAGACUGGGAUGACUUCGGGAAACCGGAGCUAAUACCGGAUAAUAUUUUGAACCGCAUGGUUCAAAAGUGAAAGACGGUCUUGCUGUCACUUAUAGAUGGAUCCGCGCUGCAUUAGCUAGUUGGUAAGGUAACGGCUUACCAAGGCAACGAUGCAUAGCCGACCUGAGAGGGUGAUCGGCCACACUGGAACUGAGACACGGUCCAGACUCCUACGGGAGGCAGCAGUAGGGAAUCUUCCGCAAUGGGCGAAAGCCUGACGGAGCAACGCCGCGUGAGUGAUGAAGGUCUUCGGAUCGUAAAACUCUGUUAUUAGGGAAGAACAUAUGUGUAAGUAACUGUGCACAUCUUGACGGUACCUAAUCAGAAAGCCACGGCUAACUACGUGCCAGCAGCCGCGGUAAUACGUAGGUGGCAAGCGUUAUCCGGAAUUAUUGGGCGUAAAGCGCGCGUAGGCGGUUUUUUAAGUCUGAUGUGAAAGCCCACGGCUCAACCGUGGAGGGUCAUUGGAAACUGGAAAACUUGAGUGCAGAAGAGGAAAGUGGAAUUCCAUGUGUAGCGGUGAAAUGCGCAGAGAUAUGGAGGAACACCAGUGGCGAAGGCGACUUUCUGGUCUGUAACUGACGCUGAUGUGCGAAAGCGUGGGGAUCAAACAGGAUUAGAUACCCUGGUAGUCCACGCCGUAAACGAUGAGUGCUAAGUGUUAGGGGGUUUCCGCCCCUUAGUGCCGCAGCUAACGCAUUAAGCACUCCGCCUGGGGAGUACGACCGCAAGGUUG
rnacentral:rRNA from 1 species